rnacentral:rRNA from 1 species
AUUGAACGCUGGCGGCAUGCCUUACACAUGCAAGUCGAACGGCAGCACGGGUGCUUGCACCUGGUGGCGAGUGGCGAACGGGUGAGUAAUACAUCGGAACAUGUCCUGUAGUGGGGGAUAGCCCGGCGAAAGCCGGAUUAAUACCGCAUACGAUCUACGGAUGAAAGCGGGGGACCUUCGGGCCUCGCGCUAUAGGGUUGGCCGAUGGCUGAUUAGCUAGUUGGUGGGGUAAAGGCCUACCAAGGCGACGAUCAGUAGCUGGUCUGAGAGGACGACCAGCCACACUGGGACUGAGACACGGCCCAGACUCCUACGGGAGGCAGCAGUAGGGAAUUUUGGACAAUGGGCGAAAGCCUGAUCCAGCAAUGCCGCGUGUGUGAAGAAGGCCUUCGGGUUGUAUAGCACUUUUGUCCGGAAAGAAAUCCUUGGCCCUAAUACGGUCGGGGGAUGACGGUACCGGAAGAAUAAGCACCGGCUAACUACGUG